rnacentral:lncRNA from 1 species
AUUGUAGUUCAUUUGCACUGCUGCUAUUCUUAGUUUCCGCCGCUAUCCCAUCCACUGUUUUCCAAACAAGUCGAAGCCACCACAUUACUCGACUUGCCCCGCUAGCCGCCUUGUGUGAUCUCUUGCCGCCACGCUAACCCUAGACAGGGUGCCAGCCGCUGCUUCGCAGCCCUCCUUACAUCAUCAGGUGAAUACCUACUGCUAUUAGUCACAGGGACGAUUCAUCCUGUGAUCGGUGUUGAAGUUUAGGGACACUUUACCCUAACUGCCGCCACCGCCGACGAUGACGACGCCGUGUUGUGCCUUCUGAAAAACAUACUUUGAGAUACCUUCGGUAAAAUAGGCAUAACUUUUCGCUCAUUUAUCAGAAAAAUCUAAAAUUUUUAUAGCAGCUUCUUGACUUCAUUUGGACCAGACCCAAAAUUUUUACAGCCUGCUUCACCCUGUUUGGUCUCAUCAAAAUUGAUGAAAAAAUUCAGGAAAAUAAAGAAAAAAAAUUGAUUAUGGUUUUGCACGCUUUUCAGAGAACUUGCUAAAUUUGUGUAGAUCACAUCUGACCUUAGUUGCAGUUGCCAAUUUUUGUGAUUACAUCUUUUGUGAUCCUUGUUUAGAUAAUAAUAUAAAAAAUAGUGAAAAAUAAAAAAAUCUUGAUUCCUACUGGUGCCUUUUGGAAAAAUCCAGGAAAAGGAUAAAAGAAAAAUCUGCUCUAUUACUUGUUUGCUGAGUUCCUUCCAUCAUACUUUGUUUCACCUUGUUACGCUAUGUCUAGACAUGUCUUAGCCAGCAAUUGUAAUUUAUCCUUUGGAUACUUAUUGAACUUCACUAACUCUGUAUUCGAAUAUUGCUAAUUCCUUGCUACUUACAUUGUGCCUGUCCAAAGCUCCACAUAUACUUCUAUCAGCAUAGGUUCAUAUUGCAACUGUUUACCCACGCUCAACAACUGAUUACUUUGCUAAUUUGGUUUUACUCCUGUUUGGCUUUGGUAAGAACACUUGUAAGAGGAUUGAGAGGGCUAACACCGACUUGGUCGGCGAUAACAUAGCCCUCGAGGAGAAGAUCCGCGGUGAGUUUUCUACCUCCUUACAUUUGCUUUGUUUUUACAGUGUUCAUUUUCUAUCGACUGAUUCCUUAUUUUUGUCUCCGC